rnacentral:rRNA from 1 species
AGAGACAGCAGUAGCCGCGGGAAUACAGAGGGUGCGAGCGUUAAUCGGAUUUACUGGGCGUAAAGCGUGCGUAGGCGGCUUUUUAAGUCGGAUGUGAAAUCCCUGAGCUUAACUUAGGAAUUGCAUUCGAUACUGGGAAGCUAGAGUAUGGGAGAGGAUGGUAGAAUUCCAGGUGUAGCGGUGAAAUGCGUAGAGAUCUGGAGGAAUACCGAUGGCGAAGGCAGCCAUCUGGCCUAAUACUGACGCUGAGGUACGAAAGCAUGGGGAGCAAACAGGAUUAGAGACCCCUGUAGUCCCUGUCUCUUAUAA